rnacentral:rRNA from 1 species
AGCCGAGCGGUAUUUCUUCUUCGGAAGAGAGAGAGCGGCGCACGGGUGCGUAACACGUGUGCAACCUACCUUUAUCUGGGGGAUAGCCUUUCGAAAGGAAGAUUAACACCCCAUAAUAUAUUAGAUGGCAUCAUUUGAUAUUGAAAACUCCGGUGGAUAAAGAUGGGCACGCGCAAGAUUAGAUAGUUGGUGAGGUAACGGCUCACCAAGUCAAUGAUCUUUAGGGGUCCUGAGAGGGAGAUCCCCCACACUGGUACUGAGACACGGACCAGACUCCUACGGGAGGCAGCAGUGAGGAAUAUUGGACAAUGGGUGAAAGCCUGAUCCAGCCAUCCCGCGUGAAGGAUGACGGUCCUAGGAUUGUAAACUUCUUUUGUACAGGGAUAAACCUACUCUCGUGAGGGUAGCUGAAGGUACUGUACGAAUAAGCACCGGCUAACUCCGUGCCAGCAGCCGCGGUAAUACGGAGGGUGCAAGCGUUAUCCGGAUUUAUUGGGUUUAAAGGGUCCGUAGGCGGGCCCGUAAGUCAGUGGUGAAAUCUCAUAGCUUAACUAUGAAACUGCCAUUGAUACUGCGGGUCUUGAGUAAAUUUGAAGUGGCUGGAAUAAGUAGUGUAGCGGUGAAAUGCAUAGAUAUUACUUAGAACACCAAUUGCGAAGGCGGUGCACUAAGAUUUAACUGACGCUGAUGGACGAAAGCGUGGGUAGCGAACAGGAUUAGAUACCCUGGUAGUCCACGCCGUAAACGAUGCUAACUCGUUUUUGGAUUUUCGGA